rnacentral:lncRNA from 1 species
AGCACGCCGGUUAGUUAUAGGCCUAAGCAAAGUGUUGUUUUAUAGGCGGAAUUCUAAGCUGGAUUCGGGGCAUGAAAUGCUGGAUUCUUGUUUCACAUGGGAUAUACUUAAGCUAUAAUUCCCUCUUUCAUACCUUAUUGCUUACCUUCGAGAUCUAAAUUCCAUUCGAACUUUCCAGAAGGAAUACUAGGUGGGCGAGAUCAUUCGAUUCUUAAAGAUAAGAAGAAGGGCUCUUCCGCUGGAGAAUCAGAAGGCACAGGAUAAGGUACUCGCUUUGAAGCAGUGCUCAAACUCGCUAACGUUAGUGGUGCGUAAACAGGACAAUCCGUAAGUAUAGCUUUCUUAAGGCGCCCAGCCCAACUCAAUAAACAAACUGGAAUCGAAUAUACCAACCAGUUCCUUUUCUAGGAUCAGACUCCGUUGAAAGAUCAGAAGCCUGAUAAGUAGCUCUGGAUAAUAAGAAGCAAACUUCGUUGAAAGAUCAGAAGUUGCAAGGGUUUCGGUUGAAAGGGGAGUUGUUAAGUCGCCGAGAUCAGAAGCUUUGUUGUAUCUCGGAAAGGACUCUCAACAUGGUGUGAAAUCAGUAUCAGGCCCAGGCCCAGACUAAGUGGCUGAAGGUAGAGUUGAGUAGGUUUCGUCAAGUUCAAGUAAGUAGCGCUUGUCGGAUCAACUGUAAUCUCUGUUCGAUUGAAGUCAACAAGAUGGGAAGCUUUAGAAAGAUCAGGAUCAGAUGAACCAUCAAUACGUUAAGAAACCCGUUCUUGACCUUGCUUCUAGUCCCGAUCUAGCAAAGUAGGAAUUCAAUCAGUGUAAAGUGUCGGUGCUUACCUGUAGCUCUUUGUCUACGAGAGAGGUUAAGUUCUUGUGGAAUCCCUUGUUGAGUCUUAAGUUGACAAGUAGUGAUCUGGUCCAGUUGCAUCAGUAGCUCCGGUAGACUUAAUGAUCAGUAGCUCCGGUAGACUUAAUGGAUUCCACCAAUUCUACUAGUCGUUGCAAGAACGGGAAGGAGAACUGUUAGGAUCAGACAGAUAAGUAUAGGAUCAUUUGUUGACAGCCCAAACUAGUUGUAUAGUAGUAAAGAGCCAUAAGGUUCAGGUCAUUGUCUCGCUUACGCUGGUUUAGUAGGAUUGCCAGGAAAGCCUACUUGUUCAGGUAGCCAGUCUGUACUUUCUUCUUCAACUAACUAAAAGAGCAGCUCUAGUACAACUAUAGUACAACUCUAUCCUCCUCGGUACAGCUCUAUACUCCCCCGGGUACAGGUUUUCCCUAUUCUCUUCUUUCUUUGUAGAGGUAGUAGUCGCGGUAAAGCAAAGACAUGACUGACAAUUCCCAUUCUGAAGUAUACGCUUGUCGGCUUGUUCGGCUAACUCACUAGCAUACCCAGAAACUAACAAAACUCUAAAGCUCACCACAUAUGACAUGUUCUAUGGCUCUGCUCUACCUGCUCACUGUUCCCAAUCAUCAUUGCUUCUUGAAUAGAGAAUUAAGAACUAUCACAUUCUAUUAAGAAAUAAUAACAUAACACUGGUCACUCUCGGCUCUUAGCUCCUUAUGCGCAAGUCCACCAAGCGACUACUCACUCUAAAACCAGAACACUCCACCCCGGUCUUUCACUCUCCCACCGCCUACUUCAAUUCUUUAGUACACCGCUCUCUUUUCCUGUCCUGUGAGCUUACACACUAAUUCUUUUAUUUGACCUAUGAGCCUUCCCAUAUCCCUUAGUUAAGUCUGCUUUUGAAGCCUAUGAAUCGAAUCGUACUUGACUUUAUCUUAUUCUCCACAACCUAGCUAUUAGGAUCGAACCCACUAUAACAGGCUUGCACAGGUUCUUUUCAUUCUUUAGCGACCGCCCUCAAAGCUGUCCUUCCUUUCUUCAAUUCCAAUAGUCUCUUCAAUUCCACUAGCUUAGUUUUCUCAAUGAGAAUUCUUUAUUUAGAGCACGAGCACUAGGUCUAUAAAUGAGUAAGGAUAUGGGAACAGAGGAUAUGGGAACAGAGGAUAUGCGACCAUCUUCCGAAGGGGAAACUUCCACUCAUAUAUUGAGGGAAACUUCCACUAAGCUACUCUACUGGGUGCGGGGGCCGAGUCACUACUUUCUUUCUUUCCCGCUGCACCUCUACCUCUGACCUAUCCGAUACCUCUGUCAACUAAGUCUGAUCUUGCUCCACUGAUCUAAUUGCUCCCCUCGGGCAACUAAGAAAGUUAUUGCUCUGGUCUGGACUCUUUACUACUCUACUACACCUCUUGCUCUGUCAACUAAUUCCUUAAUUCCUACUUAUGAGGUUGUCUCUGACUUUCCCACUCCUGAGUCAAAUUCUAACUAGUCUAAUUCUGACUUCUCUCGCCUACCCGAACUAACUCUAUCUGACUUGCUAACCUCUAUUUGAAUGAAAACUGAUAGGAAGCAGAAAGGGACUGCCGCUCUUUUCACUCGCUAAGGAAUAAAACAAGGGAUUCCACAAGCCAAGCAGCUGGCAAGGCAACUACACCUCUACCAAUAACAGGAGCAGACCCGACAGCAGCUUACUUUAGAGCUAGAACUGGGAUUCCACUAUCACACACAAGAACUGGAACGGGAACUACUUGCUGAGUUAUAAGACAAGCAACUGGCCAAGUUACUACUAGAAUGGAGUUUUUUACCAGAAUCAUGUAAUUGACUACCCAAUGCACUAGCAAUGUAGUAUAGGGCCUAAGAGUUAAAGCGUGAUAAGUAAGGGCAACUCCCUUUCCAUACUUUCGAACAGGAGCUAGACCUGGCUUAUAACCAUUUACCUGAUACGGAGGUAGUUCAAUCCAAUCCCGAGCCUAGUUAUUGGUUGCUAUCUUGUUAGCAGAGGAAUCCGCUUUGAAGUCAGGAGCAGUAGAAUGAAAACAAAGAAGUGUAGAGCGAGCACUGUUUUAGAUGUAGCAAAGUAAACCUGUGAGCGGGUACUAGCAGACUAACUGGCCUUAGGGUCAGCGGGGUGAAAGCGCUGUUGGCAUUAGUUGGAGCCCUGUCAGUUGUAGUGAGAUUCUGGAAGUUGCUACUCGAUUCCCAGUUGAGAGUUAAAGCCCCGUUGCCGCCCCCCCUUUUUUGUUAGAAGUUGGUAUCAGCCUUUCCCUUAGUGGAUGCAUUCUUCAUUUCUGACUCUAGAGUCCUGUCAGCGCUAGUGGAUUUCUACAUUUGUUGCUUCAUUCUGCUGGUAGUGGUUUUCAGUCGGGUAUGGUGCCCCCCGGUUUCGUAUUCCAAGUUUCUAGUUCCAAAGUUGUAGGCUUUCAGCACCUUUGUUUUUAGUAUCCAUGUGACAAGUAGCAGCAUAGGUCUUGCUAUUACUAGUUGAAAAAUGCCAGGCACUAGCAUCAUCUUAGCAGAACAGAAAGGUAGCAAGAAUUCGAUGGGGGGAUAGGAGCCCUGUAACAGAAUACGUACUUCAUAGCUGGAAGGGCAGGUUAGGAUGUAGCAAAGCUGGGUUCGAGGUUUGUAAUGAGAGAGCGUGUGAAAGUCUCGUUCGUUGGGGUUCUUUCUAUCAGUGGGUCUAUCCUAUAUCCAUUACUCAAUGACUUAGAGCUAUGCCCGGUAUUCCUACUUCUGAGUUUGAUUCUAUGGUGACUGCCAACUCCUUAGAUUGUAUGUUCUACUACUUAUGCUUAAUCUAUAUGCGCUGGUCGUAACCGAAUACUUCAUUAUAGUUUACAUAAGAGGAAUGUUUGAACAAGCAAAUCCAGAAAGCAGAAUGAAAGAUAGCAGCAUAAGAAUGGCAGCGGGCAACCUCUAAGGAAGAACCGAACGUAAGUGUACAAGAAUCAGCACUGAGCACAAGAGUUUACUCAGAAGUAGAAGAACGGAGCUAGAAGCGAAGAAAUCACCUACUGUUCCCCAGCUCGAAAGUAGUAAACAAAGAAUUACACGACUGUUCCCUAGCUCUAAUCCUUAUAGCAAUCAUGUCUACAAGAACACUGUAUCGGCCCGGCCUUACGCUCCUCCCUUAGAAUCCGUGGUGCAAACAUCCUAUAGGCUUAGGCUACCUGCCUGACAUUCUGAAAGCGGAAGUAAUGCCUUCAAGUCCAGUAGCUACUUAUCUCAAUCUGACUCUCCUGGGUACGGGUGAAUUCUGCUAGGCCUAACUCUUAUUAAUGAUUCUAUUAUCUUAUAGUAGUAGUUGUAGCGUGCAUUUUCUUGAAACAAAUAAAACCCAGGCUCCCACUAGUGCUUCUAAUGCUUACCUUGCAAACGAAGCCUGUAACCCUUCCCAGCUAUCCUGGCACCUACGCGGCCCUUGAUCUCAUACUUUAUCCACUGAUACGGAUCUUUGGGUGCUUGCCUACUAGCCUAAACCAUCCAACACCAUUGGAAUGUGCUACUGCUCCAUUAGAUCAAAUGAAACAAAUCUUUCUUUGACUCUUGCUUUGCUGCCCAUGAAUCCUGUCUUUGAUGUCCAAUGUUCAGUCUUCCUUUGCUGUCCUUUAGCCUGGCUUUGUUAACCAUGUGUCUACCUUGCCCCGCUUGCAACCUAUAACUAGUGCCACUAUGCGACCUUAACUAGGAACUAAGACUUGAGUUGUGGUGGGGCAUAGGGAUUAAGGACAUAAACGUAAGUAUACCGGUCCGUAGUGGAUCCUUAGUAAUUGUGUAGAAGGUGUGUAAAGGGAGAAGGUCGAUGCACAAAAGAGUAGGUACCACAGAGAAAGGGAAUCGAAACACUACCUAAUAAAUGAAACACAUAAUGAAGGAUAAAGAUACCGGUCUGUCUGGAACUAUAAGACCAUAGGAUAUAUCGUAUACGGAAGCUAAGAAUGCAAGAAAGUAGUGUUUGUUGGGCGCCGUAUCCUAAUGGAACUCUACAAGGUGUUCUCUUGAUCCACCAUGCUGUGUACUCCCCUUUCAGAAUUGAGUGUAGUUACCUGCAUUGGGAAUUCACCCCAUUAGUAUAAGAGCGGGCGCUGAGAGGACAGGGACGAACUCAUCGGUAGAAUAAUUGCACCGGCACAAACAGCUACAAAUAUAGAAAAUCACUGUGAAAAAAAGAAAAGAACUAGGGUUUUGAGACUGCUUUUUGCUCUAAUUACUCUAGCGCAAAUGGAAUAUAAUAAUAAUAUGAUAAACCACAUUCUAAAUCUAAGUAGGGCCCCGAAAAGACUAGUUUGUUUGCGCCGGUGUCUCAGGUAAACCUCAUUCUUAUAUGUAAACGGAAUUCCUCCUAGACCUGUUGAUGCUCGUACUUCCCCGGCCCACUCUACUAGAUGUGUGUUUGUGUCUCGCCCGCUCCUCCACUAGGAUUAGAUGCGUUUGUGCCUCGGGUGGGUAGGUGUAUCGCAAGGUAAAGAGUUUUUCCAUGACAAAGUAGAGGUUGGGGAUGCCAAAUAAGAAUGCAAAAUCCCAAAACAAGGAUAGAGUCGAUGAAUCGCGUGUUUGUUGGUAAGCAAGUCAGGAUCCCCGGUUGGUUGGUUAAUCACAUGAGGAAGAAUUGCACUCGCCAAGCACUAGCCAAACAGACAAGUAGAAAUAAGGAACUCGAUCCGAUAGUCGCAUAGUCCAGCAACACCCACAUAGUUGUACAAAAAACCUACUCUUUAGUUCACUUGCUCUCAGGCCUUACUCGUUGAGAUUGAGCCUCCCGUCCCGCUUCUUUCUCUUAGGCUUGCUACCUAUCCAGUUUACUUAUAUUGAUAUAUAUGUAUUGAUAUGAGAAAACCAAUUCCAAAUCUAAGUAAUAACCAACAAACAAAGAAAUAAUGUAGACCGGUCAGUUGCUUGGCCAGUUAAGCUUGUAGUAGUGUCUUGGUGGAUCUAUGUUAUAGUUUGGGUGCGCCCCUCCACGCUUGAAGUCCGCCUUGCCGCUUUAAGUAUUACUUACCUAGGAACAACACUCCGCUACACUCUUUUCGGUAGGGAGCUACACCAGUCGAUCUAUUCUUGCAUUUGCCUUUGUUUCUUACUUAGUUACUUGUCGGCUAACAGGACUGCUACUAGCGCUAACAAGGCUUUGAGCUGUUAUUGAUAAGAACUCGAGGGAAUCCAAACACCACUAACAAGGAUGAAAUAAGUAAGUAAAGGGAGAGGUACCAGGCCGGAGGGAAUGCAAACGAGUACUUCUCACACCUCAACUCAAAAGAGAGAAUCAAACUAGCAACGAGCAGUCUUAACUCACUUGUUCGCCAGUCGAGAGUGGAGCUGGUAAGAGAAAGAAUCAAACUAGUGAAACGAAGCCUUAAAGCCAGUAUGAUCUCCCGGUAGCUCAGGCUGAUGCUUAUGUGUUCAAGCCUGAUACUGGUGCUUCCAAGGCUAAUACCAGGGGCAGCUAUUCCCGCAUCUGAUUGCCGAUUGCUAGUUAUAGAAUGAAGCAAGGAAGUCACAGAUAGUACUGGGAUACCACCGAUUGACCGAAGUCAGUAGUAAGCCCGAAGCUAGUAACUAGUGUUGAGUAAGCCCCUAGUCAGUUAGUGGGAGCCUUAUUAUAAGUAGUAACAGACCGAAAGGCAGAAUGGAACGAGGAACCUGUUUCAUCAGUAGCUCCGGUAGACUUAAUGGAAUUAGUUGCAUCCCCAGUGGCAUCUGUAAUAGUAGCCAUAGGUCAGAGCCCUAACUUGAUUAGUUGCUAUAGGUGUAGUAGAGUAGUUAAGAGCAAUAACUUUCUUAGUUAACAGAGGAGAAGUGGAUGAGCAAUAACUGUAAUAGUCGCCAGCAGGGUCUACAAGGUAAGCUGUUCAGUAAGAAGCAUAUGAAUAGUCAAAUUGCUGAGUUGAAGACCGCCCCUACUCUUUUGGACAGUCAACCCGGAUUCUCUUUCUUACCAAACAGUAAACAACCCGGAUUCUCUUUCUCACUACUCGGAAGGGAAGGUAGAAAACGACAGAUAUAAAGUAGGGUUAAGGCACAGGACUCGGUUAUCCAUACCAACAAAAAGAACUGUACAACUACUACCGGGCCCAAGCAACUAGGCAAACUGCUUCUAUUCCUGCCUCCGAUCCCAAAGGUGAACACUUUACUCUGCUCCGAAACUUACUAGAAAGGUGAAGUUGAUACCUUCUUUUAAGAUGAACUCCCCUUUCAAUUCAAGUGCUUCUGCUCCUGUGAAUUCCAGUAGUUAAGAUAGAAUUAAAGUCCAGAGCCCCAGAGUGAAAGUAGGAAAUGGAAGGCCAAGCCUGCCAACCCAGGAGGCAAGACAGACUAACCCUAAGGAAGAGCAGACCCACGGAUAAAGGAGUGAAAACAUAUUUUCAAUAGAAACCAUAUAUUAGCAUAAUCUCAAUAGAAACCAUAUAUUAGCAUAAGUCAAUCAAGUAGUAAGUAAAAGAAUAAGAUACAAAAGUAGUAGAAUCAAAGUAAGCAAAGAAAGGCUAGCAAUAUCGAGAAGUUGAGUUUGAAAAGCAAGCAGCGCCAGACUAUUAGUUAGUAGUCGCCUGGUGGAUCGGUGUUCGGUGUUGAAGAAUCAAGCAAGUGGAUAAGUGCUGAGUUCCCAGUUCAAGUGGUAGUAGCUAAAGUCCCUGUUCCGAGUUUGAUGUUGAAUGAAAGUGGUAGUAGCUAAAGUAGAAGUUCCGGUUCACGCCUAAGCCCUAUAAGCAUUAGUUCCAUUAUUUGAUAUUAGUAGUUACAGCUUGAAAGCAAGUAAGUCAGGAGUUGUCGAAUGAAAGAAAGGAUAGUAAGAAGGAGAGUUAAGAGCGGAAGAGCCAAACUAAAGGCAAGGCAAUAAGGAGAAAACGGAAGAGUAAGGCUUAGGGCAAGAUAGUCAGACUACCCUCGUUGGUGGGAACUAAGAGAAAGUCAUUUCAUACAAAGAGUUGGGCCAGUAGUUCCUAGCAAUCAAACAUAGGAAAUUCCAGUUACAAAUAGAGAAUGUGAGCAAGCAGUUUCAGAGUGAGAUGACUUUUUCUAUUAUAACCAGUAGGAAGUGACUUUGAUAGCGAAAUUCAAAUGAAUGGACCAAGCAGGCGCCAAGUAACUACUAACGGACUAAACCCAUAAUGUUAGUUAGUUCGGUGCCCUUAUGGAGUCCACCAAGCAACUACGUUCGAAACAGAAGAAUGAGCCAAGCCAGGUAUUCUAGUUCCCAGCAGCUGUCGUGUCUGUUCUAGUUUGUGGAGUUAGAGUUUCAGACCUUGAGUACUGCUCCUGUAAGAGUUAGAGUUUCAUCCCUAGGUUCAAAGUAGAGUUCCAGUUCUAAAGUGAGCAGCAGUGAUAGUUUCAGACCUUGAGUACUUGUUCUUGAACACAGCACUUGAAGUUCAGAAAUCAUAAUUAGUUGACAGCCCAAACUUUUAUACGAGUAGUCCAGAGCCCUAACUGUAUUUGUUUAAAGAGUAGAGAGAGGCAAGAUCCGAGGAGAUAUUAUCUAUUUGCUAUGAAAAAAGCCGGGUAGGCAUAGGAUGGAGCUGGUAGGUGUAAGGCUUCAAUGAGGUAGUUCCGGACUAAGACAACUGCUAGCAAUCCUUUAGUAUCAGUCCCAUAAGCUACGCCACCGUUUCAGGCUGAGAUGCAUUGGUUCAAGGCUGGUUGCUAGUAAUUGUAUUCUUGUUGUUAGGUGUCUUAGCCCCAGUGUCAUGCUAGCCCCUGAACAAAGGACUUGGUUACAACAGCCAAGCCCAUUCGGGUUUCCUUAAUAAGAAGAGAUAGAAUUAUCAUAUCUUUUUCCCUACUAUGUCUGUACUGAGUAUGUAGACGGGAAAGAUGUCGACUUUUCUAUAUUAUUUGUGAUUUGUGAAAUUGAUUCAUCGGGCUAUUCUCUGGUCAAGAGGGCAGGGCCGCUAGUCAAUCACAUGGCAAGCAUCUUUUCUCUCUUAACUAGCACAUAGCAUCUUUGAUCUUUACCAACUAACCUAACUCUGUAAACAAAGCAAACACAGAUUCAAGUCAAACACCCGACCUAGUAAAGGAAUGAAAACAAGCAUACCCUAGCCCUACCAGAACUAGUAUUUCGUACCUGAAAUUACUAUAAGGGCCCUAACAAGCUAGUAAGUCAACCUGCAACAAACAAGCAAGUCAGUUUACCACCACAACAAGUCAGUUUACCACCACAACAAGUCAGUCAACAACACUAGCAUCAAAGCUAGCACUCGAGCAGGAACUGGGCAAUUCUCUUUGAACUCCCAACUACAGUUGCUCACAAGAACUAAAGCACAAGAAAUACACUUUCCAAACUAAUCACCUGUAAGAUAGGGGCAUAAAAGGAAUGAUUUCGCAUCAGGAGAUGUUUGAUGGCAAAUGACCUAUUCAAUAUACUAAAAGGCUGUAGAAGUUCAUUUUAGACUAUCAGAUUUACCCUAUUGCUAUUCCAACUCUCCUCUCAUCCCAUCCCUCUGCUCUGGCUCUUGGAACUAUGUCACUAACCACAUCUGCUGUAAGAGGCGUAAGAUUACUUCAUUCUAUAACGGGUGCUCGAGAAUCCAUUCCUUGGGUUGAUGCAACUGUUUCCGAACCUCACUUUUGAACUGGACCUGGGCAUUCUCUUUCUUACCUUGCUUUAAGGCUGCUACUCACCGGUCUCAUUCUCUUUGUUAGUAGCUAUAGUCUGUAACUCCCUUGUCUUAGCCCUGUUGUUACUGCUUUCAGGCUUAGCUUAGUUAGCUCCGUUCUCGCUUUAAGCCUUGGAUUCACUGGUUUGGUUCUUUGAUUCACUAGCUCAAUUCUGUGACUGACUAGCUCCACUCUUUGUCUGACUGGUUGAAGCCUGUUUCUCACUCGUUGAAGUCACCAAGCAACUACUAAUGACCAAGGCACGACUAAUGUGCCGCGGUAGGAGCCUGUGUUAAACGGUAGCGAGUUAAAUGGCACUGGGUUAAGGCUGUGACUCACCGCUCUCAGGCUUGCACUUCCCUGUUUCGUUCUUUGACUCCUUAGUUUGACUCUGAGGUAAGUUAGUUCCAUUCUUGCAUUCCAACUAGCUGACCUCUACUGUGACUACUGAGUUCCAUCCCUUGUUUGAUCUGUUUUCUUAUAUGAGUAAACAAAACGAACACUGUCAACAAAAGGAACACAGCUAUGAAUUCCCCCACUAGCGGUAUUAGUAUUGGUUAGGCGUGUCUCUCUUUCUGAAGUUGGACUAUAAACCGAAAAACAACAAACCGAUGGGCGUCGAAGGAUUCCUGUACAGUAACCACCUUCUUCAUGAUGCGUUAGCAAAUCGAGGCAUUGACUGGUUGGUUGGAAUAUGGCAAAGUAAGCAAUAUGGCAAAGUAAACACUGUACUUCACUUAUCUUAUAAAAUGGGUAUUCCCUUUGAUUUGAAUAAAGUAAGAUAGUUAUGAUCAACCGUCAACAACUUAGAUAAGCGAGACCAGACCUUACCUACUGCUUCAAAGAAAGAUCAGAGGGGCCAAGCGUAUACGUUAGUUGCGCGGCAGGAGCGGUUCAUAGCAAAGGCAUUUUAGCUAAUAGAUCACCCGAACCACCCCUGUACUCUUUCUUGACCACCUCCACUUCUUUUGUUUUAGCACCCGACCUCGCCUCUUAUAAGUGUUAACCCCGACCCGACCUUACUUCUAUUCUCUAACAAAUGAUCCCAAGGCUUACUCCCUUUCUACUUAACCUCGUCUCUUGCUCAUCUAACUCUGUAAACUAAUACGGAUGAAACUACUAUACUACACCUCCGGCUUACAAGCACAUAACAAGUAAUCAAUUCAUUAUAACUCGCUAUUCCAUAGUCCUAUAUUCUACUAUUUCUUUGAUACCAACCAGAAUGAGGCUAAUCUCCUAUAUUCCAAUAGAAUACCUCUGGCUCUGGCUCUGCUUCAAAGCCGAUACCUGAUCUAUAUCCUUUCUCCCAUACCUCUUGCUACUAGCUAAUCCCUCUCCUCUGGCUCCGGCUACUAAUCUAACUCGACUCUAAGUUCAGAACAACUUCUAGCCUACCUCCCCUCCUGUUAACUAAGACUUUUCUUGCUCUGUACUCUUUACUACUCUACUGGUGCAACAGGACUGCUACUACUCUAACAAGAACAAGAGCUGGAACAGGAACUCUACUUUAUGACUGGAACUGGGGAUUCUACCGUUAUAAGUAAGGGCAACAGGAACAGGGCUCUAAUCUACCUAUGGCAACUGCCAAGCGUAUACUUGUAGCGGGGAAUCAUUACCUUAGGACUACUACCCUUACUUUCAGGCUUGAACGAGUCCGGUCAUAUUCCCCUUUGUCUUGUGUUGGCACUUCCCUAAUUAGCACGUCCUACUCUCACUCAACUCAAAGCGCUUAGCCGGUUACUGCUCUAUUCGGUUUAUGAGGUUUUCUUUAUUCCCCAAUCAACCUUUGCUUACUUUGUUUUGAAACCAUAGGUCGUAGGUUUAGAGAUUAAUUACCGGGUCCUCUGAUCGUCCUGAUACGAGAGAUUCCACCGAUGAUAACAUUUGAUUGCUCAGGUGUGUGGCAAACAUGUCCCCUGACAAAUCACAGAAAAAGAAGGCUUCGCACCGAGAACGAGAAUACCACCUCUGCCCUGGUAAUUUAUGCCCCGUCCUCGAUUAUAAGAUGUGGUUUGCUUCACUUGACUGACUAACACAUAAUCCAAUUAGCCAGAGGAGUUUAGGAGGCAGGCAUGCGUCUAAAUAAGAUAAGAUGGUAUAAGAAUUGACUCUUGGAAGGGCUUUGCGCCUUAGACGUGAAAUGCGCAUUGCUUGUUGAUGGGAAUAGUGCUUAACUCUUCAUUGCUUGUUGAUGGGAAUAGUGCUUAACUCCUAACUUGAGAGUCAUAGAUGCCUAUCGCUCUUCUCUUUGCAAUAACCGCAGUCAGUUUGGGAUAGGAAUGAAGCCAAUUUACCUUACAAGAAGAUCAAUAGGAUUUGAGGAGAAAGAUGUCGAUUCAGAAGUCAAGUCGGAGGGCUACCUCUGAACGACUGAAUUGUUUUACCGCGCUCUACUUUCUUUCGGGGAUGAUCAAGAUGGCCAGUUCUUUCUUUUCUUCUUCGGACCCUCUUCUUUGGUCUAGGAAAGAAAUAACACAGGAACCAUCCCUUUGCUUUUGGUCUCGAAAACAAACCCUUCGUUAGGCAAGACAGAUGGAUUCUCUGCUUUUUAUACCUGAUGCGCUCUCUUUCUCCUAAAACGUCCUUCCCUUCCUUUAACUCUCUAUGUCUGUAGGAUGCUUGCCUUUUCGCAAUCCAUGUCCAGCACGGGGGAUUCCCCUUUCUUUUGGGUCAGUAAUAAAAUCAGGUACCAACGAAUUGGACCACCAAGAACCUGGGGAUCGGGGGUCUACCUUAACCACCUACAGAAAGAGAUAACAGUAUUUUCUGAGUUGCUCAAAUAGCUCCAUCCCGAAGUCGGUAUUUUCUAGGUCAAAUACUCAAUUCGCUACGGUCUAUUUCUACUUGUGAGAAAGAUCUUUUUCUAUCUUUGACAGGAAAUGGCAUAGCUCCAUUCAGUGGAUGGGUCAGUUCGUGGGCUGGGUCUCAGUUGGGUUUCUAAAGUUCUUAGUUCUAAAAAAUGGAUUGUCUAGGUAGUUCUGAAAUCUAAUAGGUCUAUAAAUAUAAAUGAAAGAGGGCCAAGCAACGGGACAAACAACUAAGUAAGCCGGCCAAGCUACUACAGUUCACAGAGCCAGAGCCAGAGAGGGCAGGGAAACAGGCGUAUACUAGACUAGCAACGGGACCAGACCACCAAUAAUCAGAAUUCCACUCAAACAAGAACAGCCCCGAGCUGGCAACUAUCAUACCUCUCCUCAAGCGUAUACUACUUCCAACCGAUAUCAGGUCUUCUUCUCCGCUCCUAUAACUGAAUUCAGAUUGGAGCAAUAUGAGUUUUCUUUCGCUUAGGGCAUCCAUCCCAACUCAAGUCCUAGCCCAAGUCUCACUUUGCUAUCAGCCAAGGAACUACUAAUGUGUAGUGGCAGGAGCGUUUCAUAGCAACCCUGUUUUCCCUAAUAGCUAGGUCAAAAGUCAUUCCUUUUUUGCGUUUUACCGUCUUUUUUGAUAGCGAAGGUGUUUUGCCUCCUAAGGGAUCGGAUAGAAAUGACAAUUUGACGUUUUCCCGGGAUUUUAGAUAGCGAAGUCAUUUCCGCUAAUAGAUGUCCAAUUUCUCAUGAUCAUUUCACGUUUUCCCGGGAUUUUUCAUAGCAUUGGAGUUUUCCCAGCUAGAGCACCCAUUGGGAAUCCAAAGUUGGCGUUUUCCCGUCUUUUUUCGUUGCAAAUAGAGAAAUAGUAUGGGAUGGUACUUCACUUAGACUUCAACUCAGUAUUCCACUGGCAGAACUUCUGCUGUUGGGCCUGGUGUUGGUUCUUUCAAUCGAGUGUUAACGCCUACCUCGACUCAAUGCUAAGUGAAUUAGUUCUUGCCCACCUCGCCUUAAAGCCAAGUAAGUCUAUUAUACCUUAGCAACAUUAGCUACCACCGAUUGCCCUCAGUCAGGAGUUAUAGAAUGGGGAGCUAACUAAACUCAGAAUCAAACUACUAGGGCAAAGACCGAAACCAGGUAGUCCAAGACUGACACAAAGCGGACUUGCUCAUAACGAGUUAUAAUGCAUUUAUUUGCCUUCUAUGUUUUUGUAGUAGUUACUUGGCCCUUGUUGGACCGGUAGGGCAGCUUCGAAGUCAGUAGUGAGAGUGUUUUUUUCUUGGUUCUAUUCUUUGGGGCGUUAUUGGAGUCUAAGAGGUGGUAUGUCGAUUCUUAUAGUUAGUGGGGUUGUUCCCAGUUAGUAAGGUGAGUCCUGUUAGCAGUGGUUCUAUUUGAUAUAUCAGUGUCUUUUAGUUGACUAGUGGAUUCCCAGUUAUUGGUUUGCAUCUUUAUUAGCAGUGGAGCAAGCCAGUAUUCCCAGCUUCAUGAUUUGCAGGAGUAGCAGCAUUCUUACCUGAUGGGAACUAGUUUGAGUUAUCGUAGUAGAAGCACCAGUGCAAUUCUUCUCAAUAGUCGUUCGUUUCUUUAUUCCUAGGUUUCUUCUGAUUAGUAGUGGUUGUGGCCUUGCCCCUAUUAGGGGAAGGUUUAGAAGCACAGGUUUGAGUUUGAAAGUAGGCAGGGACAGACUGCUUUGCUGUAAGUAAAAGUAUUAGAAGCACUAACUUGAGUCUUAGUGGGUAGUGUUCGAUUCCCUCUUUUGAGUUAAGUUAUGAGGAGCACCGGCUGCAUUCUUUUGUGUAGUAUAGUGGUCUUCCCUUCCCGCCGAGGGGGUUAAGUCUUGUAAGUAGCAGCUCCAUUCUUGUUAGUUGCAAUUAAAGUAAGUAAGUAAGGCUACCAUAUUAGAAACUGUAGUGAAGCCUGUGUUCUGUGGUUAAGUCUCUUAGUGCGCUGAACCCUGUUCUUUAGUGAGUCGUUUCUUUCCUAGUUUAGGUGCUGAGUGCGAUUCCCGAGUGCAAUUCUUUCCAGUAGUGAUUUAAUCCUUUGACUUACCUGUUCAAUUCAUAUGCUCUUGUUCUACUCUUGUACACUGGCGUUUCAUUCCUUCCAGUAGUAGCUACAUUCUUUCCAUUAGUCGUUUAGUUCCUUUUUCGUAGGGGUAUGGUUAGUGGGGCAGGUCUUAUAAGCACUAUUACAAGUCCGAGAAGCACUGGUUGAUUUCCUUAUUCUAAGAAGAACAAUGUUUGGAAGCACUAAUUCUGUUCUAUUGGUACAGUGCUACAGAACAAAAGCUAGCAGUAUAAAUGUAGCUAACAGGCGUAGGGCUGAUAAACCGGAGAUAUAAGACUGAGCCCGUUAAGUUUCAGAAAGAGAAGCAGGACAGUUAGAAUCAAAGGCGGUGAAGCAAGACCCGAGGUUAGUAGUAAAGGCGGAAGUCAGUGUUUUGCGCCUAUCCCUAUAUAGAGCGGUAAGAGAGAUAUUCCAUUCCAGUAGUUGGCGAUAAGGGAGAAAGAUAUGAAUUGCCAGUUAGUAGGAGCAGGUCACUUUUCGAAAUCCAAUAUGCAUUUGUCGAACCAAUAGGUACCUAACCUAAUUCUGCCUAUUUUCUUAGUUGACCCUGACCCCCUUAUAUACAAGUGAACAGGACUCGUUAAUGACUGCUAUACAUACAUAUUAAGAAAUUCAUUAGGUAGUCAUAGUUGCUUGUCGGAUUAUUCCCUCACUUCUGCUUCAGAUACAUCUGUUGCCUCAGAUCUUGAAACUUAUUGUUCUGUUGCAGAUGAUCUUGUAACUAAAGAUUCAAUAGUCUCCUUUCCAAGCACAGCAUUAGCUUCAGCAGAUGAGCAUUCGGUUUCUUCAACUACUCCCGUCCCUUUAGCCUCCUCGUAAUAACGCCCAUUAAUUAAGGGCACCAAAAACAGGACAUAGAAAACAGGCUUCUUACAGUGAAACUGACUCUCUUCAAUGGCAUGAGGGAAGGAUGAAACUGUUGGAAAGAUCAUAUAUAGGAAAAAGCAAAACACUUAUAAGAAUGCCUAUGAAUUAAAAGAAUAAGUGCUUUAGAGAAAUCAAUAGAAUUAUUCAUACGGAGCAUGCGGAUCAAAGUAGAAUCGUACUAUUACUUAUCGUUUUUUGACCUUACUCCUUCUCUUGCUGUGGCUGAGACUAUACUACUGCUAUGAGGUCUUUCCUUAGUUUUCCUUCUUUCUCUGUUUUCUUACCGAGGUUGUAAGUUCAGUUACUUUAUCCUUCCCUGUCUAUUAGCUUAUUGAGUUGAGGAAGAGACUUACUGACUGCCUUUCUUUAUUUGUUUGUUUGUAUUAGACUAACUCCCUAUUUUUCCAAGAAUCAGAGGGCUACGCUAAAGAGAUUGCGGCAUUCAUUCACCCAGACUUGAUAAUGGAACCCUUGUCCUGCAAGCCCCUUAGCAGACUAUAAAGAGAAAGUGGAGUAAACCCAAAAGACAAGAAAGAGUCAGCGCACCCCCGGACCUCUUGUUUGGUAUCUUUCGAGACUCUCCCUCUUCCGAGGCUAGCCUCAAGAAAACCCCUCCCUCUCCUGUUGGUCGAGCUAGCCCCAUCCUCUUAGCCAUUUCUUCCUCUGUCAAAGAUUAGCAUUCAUCUUGUCUUUGAAUUAUUCUCUUUCUUAUCUUUAUUGAUUUCUGUGAAUCAUUCUCUUUCUUAUCUUUAUUGAUUUUGAUUAUAGUAUGAUAUGAUCCAAUGAUUAUAGUAUGAUAUGAUCCAAUGAUUACUUUAUUGAUUUUGAUUAUAGUAUGAUCCAAUGAUGAUUCCUCCCGGUGUAUGAAGGAAGAUGAUAAUCCUUUGUUGAGUUGGAGUUAGGAGCUCUGCCUUGGUUCUUUUUUCUUGCUUGCCAACUUGAUUCUGUCUUCUCAUUGAGCUUAGUAGAUACAACUCGUCUGGCACUUUCUGACCGGUCCGUUGGGCAAAGAGCACUUUUCACCCGGAACUCCCCUUUCAAGAGUAAGCCGAGGGGAACCUUCUUGAUCUUAAUCAAAUACAUUCCCUUCUCUUUCUUUAUUGAUUGAUUUCUUUCUUAAUACAUUCCCUUCUCUUUCUUUAUUGAUUGAUUUCCUAGUUUCUUUCAUUAUGGAUUUCUAUCCGAGUUUCUUUCUUUGAGUGGAACUCUCUUUCUCUUUUCUCACCCGCUUCUAUCCUUUCCCUUUCUUUAUGAAGGAAGCCCUUCUUCCCCGGAACAAAGGAAUUUCCCAUAUCAGACAGGUCCCGAAAGCGCGUAGAGAUUGACGGCUAACUGCAAAGAGAAUCAAACCAAUCCUGAUGGCAAUCCAAUAUAAGUUUACUGGCUUGAAAGAGUUAGCCUAAGGCCUUAAGAGAACUACUAUUACUGAUGCCCCGUUCGGCUAAGAGAAGGGUUCUAAGGUUAGGAAGAUUGCCUGGAUUCAGACAGAUUUCUCUGGUAAAUGCCACUGUUCAUUGCCUUCCUAUGUGCAAGCGCUCUUCUACUUCUCAAAUCAAAGGGCCAAGCAACUAAAGGAGAGUGAAUAUGAGUUAUAACCAAGUCCACCAAGCAGACUAGUAGGCAAGUAACUACUCCUAACAUCUUUAGGGUCGAAUACUUCACUUGUGAUCCAACUUUAACAUCAACAUCCGAUUCACUUACAUUAGAUAGAUCUAGGUAACCAAGAAACUCCAUUCUGUGGACCACACCUCGCAUCAAAGCAAGGAAAGUAUUAUUUUGUUAAAGGGCCAAGCAACGGGUUAAGUCUCUAACUACAUAGCUUCAGUCUGCAACUACAUAGCAUCAGACUUGGAUUCACUAGCUCCCGAACACCCGGUUUCGUUCUCACUUUCUUACUUGUUAGCUCUAUUCUGUUACUGACUUGUUGCAUUCUUUGUCUUAGGAGUUUCUCAUUCUGUAACUACCUAGGUCAAUUCUGAGUCUUCUACUGGAUGCGGAGUGGGAAUGGGAGCCUUGUUUCCGGGGUUUAGUGAACGAGUCCUGUGUUCGUGGGAACUAUAUUCAUUCUGUUACUACUUUGUUUCUUUCUUAUAUGUACACUAGUUUGAUUCCGAAAUUCCAACUAGCAACUACUCGGGAUGAAGACUAGAAGUCAAACACCCGACCCGUAAUCUUUUGUUUGAGCACCCGGCUUUAUCAUCUCUAACACCCAGCUACCUGGCAACCGAAACAAUACUUUUCCACUGAGAAAACUCCUAUACUAAUGAGUUAAGUCACUGAACCCUCAAGAUUAUAGGAAGAAAUGCAUUCGUUGACAAGUUUCUUAGUUUCAAUGAGUUUCCCUAUCUACUGAGCUUCCCCGUUCAAUAAAUGAAAUGCAUUUGGAGUGUAUACCCGAUAAUAGCUACUGCCGCGCAACUGACUACUAAGCUUGGCCCUUCCAGUCCUUUCUUACCCUCUUCCUCAAGUUCAUAAAAAAGAGAAAAUACCGAUACUAAUAGAAUGGAAAAAGAAAGAACAGAAGAGAACUAAUAGAACAAAUAGAGAGAAUACCACGAGAGCAGGCAAUUGAGUCGACAACUCACACUCACAACUAGGAGCCAGGCAACUACUGUUCACAGAGCCAGAGCCAUAGAGGGAUAUCUGGUCUGAAACUCCGAGUACAUGGGCAAGUCCUGUGCUGUGUUCGCGGGUCAUAGGGGUUUCAUUCUUAUACUUACUGGUUUCGUUCUUAAUAUCAGGUUUCUGGUCAUAGGUCUAAUUCUAAGAUUGACUUGUUUGAUUCUUUCACUACUGAGUUCAAUUACUAGAUUGGAAGCCUCAGCUACUUAUUAUAUCUGCUCUGAACUUCUGAACUUCAAGUCUGGUUUCGGGUGUUGAAGUGGUUACUCACCUGCAACAUAAGUUUGGCAACCCUGGGUUCAUUCCACUUUCCACUGGACGAAGGUAAGAAAGAGAGGACAUCAAGGCUAGAUUCUCGUAUGCUAAAGAUAGUUUGAUUCGUGCCUUCCAUUGCCCAACACACACCUAUUUGGAUUCGCUUGAGAAGAGCGCAUUCUUUGGAUGCUAAGGGCGGGCCUGGCCCGGGUUAACUAAACGAUCUUCUCUGUUUAUGCUUCAGCGAAUCGACUUCUUCUCGAUGACCACUUGAGUCAGAUUCAUGUGCAGCCUUUCUCUUUUGUUUAUUAUUCUAGAAUAUAAGAUGAUAAGAUGCAUACCCCUUCCUCAUUAACUAUGUAACUUCCUUUAGUUUAGCAGCGGUAGCAUUCAAAGCGGAUUCUUGUACACAAGACAGAGAGAGGAAUUUGAACCCUAUUAACAGAGAGGAAAUGCACCCUAUUAAUAAAGGUCUAUAUAAGGUCGGGCAACUAAGGCAGAGAGAGGCUACUUUAUAACAACCAUGUUAGCAACUGAGCACCUUGAUUUUCGUCUUUCAAACCUUAUGAUAGAAUAGAAUUGCUAAAUCCAACUACGAGUAUCCACCUUUGCUAAAUGAAACUACGAGUAUCCACCCACCUUCUUCCUUAGCCGGUAUCCUACGAUCUCUUGACUAAGUCAUUUCACACGUUGCAUUGCACUGAGAACAUGGGCCCGGUCGGCUAUUAAUAAAGCUAGGCGAGGCCGAACAUCGGAUUCUGAACCUGAAAACGGAAGCUUGCCUUGGUAACCUUUGCACAGUUUGCUUUUCCCCUUGGACAGAUAGCGUUGGGAAGGAGAGAAGGAAUUUGUACCAGAGAGGGGCUCCUAUCUAUAAAUCUAUAAAUACAGGGCAGACGCGCACUGAUAGGCCAGCUCGCCUUCCUUCCUCCACCGACUGGAGACCAGAUUGCUACCAUAUAAAGGAAUGACUAUAGGCACGGAACUUUCUUUUUACCAGAUUCUUUCUUUGCCCCUUGUACUUGCCUGCCCGGCUAGCUCCUAGGUUCAGUCCGAUCCGAAGCCAGAUGCAAGUUUUGAUUUAGCAAUAUCCUUUGCUCGGUUCAUGACGCUAUCCAAGUCAAGCCAGAUUGUAUGGUUCCAGAAGAGAGAAUCCGCUUCGAUCAUCAACGACUACAACAUUUUUAGAGCUAGUGUCUCGGGUCAUCGUUUCGCUUUACCGGGUACCCCAAAAGAAAAGAGUUGUGUUAGCUCUUGGGAAAGACAUUUUAGUCAAAGGCCGGAUAGCCUUGCUCUUUAGUUGAUGGGAAAAACCCGGGCCGGCAAAAAGCGUAGACUUCCAUGAGGAACCCACCUUAGCCACCUACCAUCAGACAGAUAAGAAAGAGACAGGUACGAGUCCAGCAAAACCAGGAUCGGAACUUCGCAAGCCCUCUUCAAUGGCGCUCAUCAAAGUAUGAUUCCUGCUCCAUUCCCCUUUGCACUCGAUUGAGAACCUUUUGAAUGAGAAACUCAAUCCAUCAAUGUGGGGUGGGGUUCAUCAUCAUUUCUUAAGCAAAAACGGCAGGGCAGGAGCUUUCUUCUAGAUCUCAUUCACACGUGAGAGUCAAUGGGUUGGUUUUCGCUCGCCAAGCAAUUACUAGUGUAUAGCGUUAGAACCAGUAGUCAGCCUUGUUCUCGGUAGGCUUUCAGCACCUUAUUUCAAGUUCAAGUCUCAUCCGCAGUAGCUGGUUCUCACCUAGGUUCUAGCAAGUUUCAUUAGGCGCUGUACCAUUCCUUAUUGCAGGACACAGUAUUUCAUUCAGUAGUCGCAGCCUUUUCAUUAGUAGUUUCAGAGUCAAGGUUAGCAGUGGUAGUGUUGGAGUGAGUUAUUGUAGAGGAAGAAGAAGAUGGGAACGCAAGUAAGGAAGUUAGGAAAUAGGUUCGUUCUUUGACUUAUUCAUUUAUACAAGCUAUGGUGCCUAGUUAGGGUAGUGGUCGACCGCUGCUUAUGACACUCAGCUGAUAUAGAAACCUUGCUUUCCAACUGACACUACUUAACUAAAGUCUUCCUUUACAGCUUCUCAUGGCGCUCCCUAUAAUAAAGAAAGACACUAAUACUUAUUAGAAUGAAAAGAGGAGGUCCUAAAGAAGGAUCUAGAUCUGAUCGAGUUCGCCUCCUAAUACAAAUCUAAUGGGUGUUGACGCCCUGAAGUCUGGUUUGCGAGGUUAACUCGGGUACUCGGGUCUCUAGGGCCUACUUUGCCGGUUCUAAAGCCCCUAGGGGACAAGCGCUAUUACCUAUACAUCUAUUCUUUAACACUGGGGGUACGAUCCUUACUCUACUGACGGGAAUACAAAUACCACUAUGCUACUAUAAGGCACCCAACUACGACUAGCAAGAACAAAACUCGGAGCUAAGAGACAAGCAACAGGAAACUAAUAAUGGAACUGGUGCAUACGAGACCCUAACGAAUUACUCUUGACUUGAAACCUACUAAGACGCCUAUGCAGUAGAUCUUUCCUAGCUAGAAAACUCAAACCGAUGUUAACAAGGCUAUAGCUCUUACACUGGGAACAACCCGACCACUAUUGGAUUGAAAACCCUAUCCAUUAGAAUGGAACCUGGGCAUGUGAGAAUGGAACUACUUCUAAUAGGAUUUGAGCUACAACUUUCAAUACCUUAACUUUGAACUGGGAAUUGCACCACUGCUACCAAGACUUACUUCAUUACAUAGGGGCUCCGGCUUUAACUACUGAUUAACUAGCCUGUCUCUCCUUUGUUUUCAUUCCGUAACUACAGGAUUUUUCUCUUUGUUCUUAAACAGGAACCGCUGCUAACGGGGCUCUCGAUCCACUCCCCUAUUCCUACUUCCUUGACUUUCAGUCCAACUCCCCUUGCUCUAAAACGGAAAUGACUUAUUUGUUUUCUUUGCCUCGCCCUUAGGUCUGCCGCUACUGUAUUUCAUUCCACUGCUCCUUGCUUGAAGUCUCUCUAGGCACACAAUUCGCCUGUCCUUGAAUUCACUAUCAUCUGAUAAGACUUAGCUACUGUACGAUUCAAUUAGGCUUAGAAGUAGAGUUCAAUUAGGAUGAAAGGUAGUCAAUGGGGCUACUCAAAAAUAGGAAUAAGAAUCUAGGUGCGUACGAUCCAGUGCAUACAGGGAUGGAGUAACUACCAAUAAGGCUGUAAACUCGGCACACUCGGGCUUAACUAACUAAUAAGCAGAAUCCGGCUACAGCUUCUUUAAACUCGGGCUUUGGCUCCUGCUUCUAAGGCUCUAAACAACUACAGAAGAGAAUGAAAACACUGUAAACAAGAUCGAAACCGCUGCUAACAAGGAUGCCCUGACUGACUUCUAUUUUAGCUACCCUUGCUUUCGUUCUGUAACUAAUAGCUCUGGGCCUUACUUGCUCCCUCGCUUCUGAAAUGGAGUAUAUACCUUACCUAUACUGGAGUUGAUUGAUACCCGCCUAAGGCUACACUAAUACUAAUAUAAUAAUGAAACCACUAAACAGGAACGGAACCACUACGCUACUAAUAAGAGUAAGAGAACAACUAUAACACAAGAAGUUAACUCAUAAGAAAACUACUGUAUAAAGAAAACAACUCAUAAGUAGGUGCUGAAAGCCUAGUGCUUCUAAGAACCAAACGAGGGAUAAUUAACUCAACUACUGCUGAUAGGACUUGCUAUCCGUGUUUUCACUCUGUUACUACUUACUCUGAUUGUUCCAAUCCAAAACACAUCACUCGGUAAUAACUUGAAACUCAAAAUAAGGAAUUGCACUCUGGGUAAUAACUUGAAACUGUAUUUCCGUUAUAUAAAUCUCUGCGCUCUACUCGCCAUUCUUACUGCCCUUUCUCUGAUUCUUUGAUGUGAGCUAUAAGGCUAAUAGCAGGCCCCAAGUAAGCAUACUUAUUACUGAAAUAAUGCAUUUCAACUAGAAGUCUGUCACUACCAACUCCAAAGCUAACAUGCCUAACAACCUUACUACUGAACACUCGGAUUAUUUGAAAACAUGGGUCUGGGCCCUUGCUUUGACUAGGGCGGAAUUCCACUCAGUAGCAGUCCACUCAGUAGUAGUCCACCAAGUAGUAGUCCACAAUUACUUGACUAGCCACCAAGCCUUACUUAUUAGUUAAUUGAACUCGACCCACUAGUAAAGCCCCAUUGCCUCACCCUUAAGUCCGAAACUCCCUGCCAGAAGUCCGUUAUUGACACUAUCCACUAUCAGGAUUACUUGCCUCGAUCUCCUUCUAACCAUCUUGCAACUAAUUCUUUCACUAAGGGGAAAGGAACGAAAACACUGCUAACAAGGAUGCCCCUUACUUCUUUCCCAUCUACUUAGUCUGUCUGCCUUUCCCGCCUUCUACUUACUCCUUUGAAACUUGGAUUUCACCUUUCAGUAUUGAUUUCCUGUCUGAGAGAACUAGGUUAGUUAGAGGCUACAGCAAAGUGUAAGUGGAUAGAUACUGUGCCAGGCCGGGCUAAGGAUAUCUGUCCGCAGAUACUAAUACGGGUGGCAGCCUCAAGGAUUUCACUCGGUAAUAAAAGAAUGAAUAGCGUUGUAUAGGAGCGAUAGAUCUGAACUAAACUCCGUAGUUGUAGGCUUUCAGCACCUGACUUUCUAUAAUGUCUGAGAGGGGCUUACUUCCCCGGCUAUAAAAUACUCCGUAUUAGAAAUACACCUGCGCUAACAAGGCUGUAGCUACUAUUUCGAAUGCUUAACUAAGAACUGGAGCGUGCUUUCCUGGCUAUCGGCCUGUUGCUUCCACUAACAACUAUGACCAUUAUUAUGGAAUCUAACUCAAUAGCAUAGGAAUGAGUGGGCAUAUCCUGGAAUUUACCUAAGUUGCGGGCAACAACUCUAAACUAGGAAAUCAUUGUAGGGAAUCUCAGAAUGGAACUCUAUAUGCGGAAUGAACUCAACAUCUUACUCGGUCUCUGUGCUUUUCAACUUUCACUCAUGACAGUUCGCUUACCCCUCUGAACUAUAUUAUUCUUAUGCUCCUCUCCCACUCUUCAAUUACUAGAAAUCCGAAUUGAACUCGAUGCACUGAUCCUAUGCUUUCACCGGGACGACUCGCGUCCCCACUCUUAUGUUGAAGCCUGUCUCCCCUCGCUUAACUCUGUAGUUCACUUUUCUUAAUCUAUCUAUCCUGGAUUUAAUGCUCUAACUACUGAUUGGAAGGAUGCCCUACCUUAUCUUUCUUCUAAAUAUCCUGGGUGUCGGCCUUAUAUCUCUUUUCAUUAGAAUUGAACCGCUGACAACAAGACUGACUUGACUUCACUAGUAACCGAGCCUUACUACUUAGCUUUCAAACUAACCUCUCCUACUUAUUCGAAUGAAAUCGCUGCUAACGGGCCUUACUCACUAGUAGUUAAAACCCUACUGCUUUCUUUCAUUACUUAUUACUUAGUAUCUCGCUCUUGUCUUUGAUUCUGACUUGACUGUCUACUAGGCUGACUUUCCUUACUUCUGUUCUUUAACGCUGCCCCCCAAGCUCGAUCUCAUCCGUCAAUUACCAUAGACCCUUGCUUUUCUUCUUGUAUUACUGAUAUGGGUCCUUACUUAUCUGCUUGAAUCUUAUAUUACUACUCAAAAGAAUUGGACUAGCGCUCCUCAGACUGAAACAGGAGCAUACACGAUUAGACGCGACUAUAUAGAAACUAACAGCUCUCCCCCGUUCUACUGGAAUCCAACCAAUGACAAUAAGAAAUGAGCGACUUACCUUUUCUUCUUUUCACACCUACAACAUACUUUAGAUCAGUAGUUUUCUACCUGAAUUCUUCUCCUAUCCCUCGUGCUAUAGCCAAGACACUAGUAACAAGACCAAUACUUGUCAACUGAAGACUCAACUAUGGAUGGAAGGAGCCUAGACUCAACUCUCACCCAUACGCAGCACCAUUGGAUCUGAAGUCAACAAAUCAUUCCAAUAAGAAUGAAACAAUAACCGAACAGACAAGCUUAGUAGUUAGUUGCGCGGUUCCUGGUUGCUGGGCCCUUAUUCUUAUUUUGAUAAUUGACUGGAUUUUCUUCCACCGAUGAUCCGGAUCUGUCAACUGCUUAGGCUUGAGCCUAUUCUUCUAUUCUUAUUGAUGAAACUCUACUUUCCACGAGAGAACCUGUCCUGUCCGAAACAAGUGGUUAAAGAAAUCAACCCUUCUUAAUUGACUCUAGUAGUAGCACUGGUAGCAGACUUUAGCCCGGUAGUAGUAGCACUGGUAGCAGACUUCACUUUAUGAGUUUCCCGAGGUGGAGGAGAAAGAGAAGGAUCCGAGGCAGGGACAGGGCAUCCAAGUUAUUGGAAUUACCUGUUUGUUUCUUCUAUCUUCUACAAGUUAUUAGAAUGACCUGUUUGUUUCUUCUAUCUUCUUAUAUAAGAGGAAACUUACUGUGUAGGCUUCGACCGCGGGCAUCUAAACUCACUCGUAUACUCAGCACCGGCAUAUUCCACUCUUUCACUUAGGACAGCUGACCCACUUCUUAUAUUUCUUGCGCCUGCUCCGAGAUACUAUACUGGCACUGCUUCUUAUCGAGUAGACUCACUACUUCCAGCUUCUUCUCCUUUAUUAGCGUUAGUAAGAAAUAGGUUCAAUGACCGGAAAUGGGGCUUUCAUGCCUUUACCUCAAACACUUUAGUAAGGAGUCAGUUUAAGCAAAAGGUAAGCUAUGCUAUGGUCGGUGACCAAUAUCUCUAUCAACCCUGGCACCCGGAGACUUCUUCUGUAAACUCAUCAAGUUAUGGCUCUGGCUCUUUCUCCUAUAUCCGGAUGUAUUAACUCCUAUUCCUCAAAACUCCUAACUCAGGAUGUAGUUAGUAUAUAAUACCUUUACUGGCUUUGAUACCGAAGCUGGAGAAGGAAUAAGGAACCAAAGGAAGGCUUUGAUACAUAAGCUGGAGAAGUCCACCUGUUUUCAUUCACAUAUAGGUUAGCAAAGGAACCCUCUUUUCCUUGGUCAACUACUACUUCUUGAAACAAGCUGCUUUCUAAAUCUACCUAUGGCUAAUAUACCUAUCCUGAGGCUACUUAGGGAAAUUCUGAGUCAUAGAAUUGGUAAUAUGAAUUCAAGGGGCGGCCAAGUCACGUAUACAACCACAUAGCAACACAUAAAUAUGUUCUAACUCGGAUGAGCAAGUCCUAAUCUAGAGCGGCAGCAAAUAACUAGUUAUAGCGGAUUACCAAGUCCUGUUUUCGUUCCUGUGUUCGGUGUCGCGGAGGAGCUUUAAACGGUCUUCGUAGAUGUCUUCGUUGCAGCAAGUCUAGACUUUUCCAUGGCCCUAGCUGGAGGAAUUAGAUAUAGAACCCUGUAGUCUUCUUUAAAGGUAAGGGACUGAAGGAAGUUACGGGUGAAGUCACGAACGCUAUAACAAUGGAUAAGGGGCUUGCUCUAAACUCCAAAGGGUAUUAAAGCUUUGUCAGUGAACAAAGCAGUGAUUCGACGAUCAGUAGGUGUACCGCGGUGGUUUCUCUCUUUUUGUCCUCGAUGAAGGGAUAAGGUCCAGCUUUACUUAUUCCACUUUCUUUAGGAAUGAAAUAAGCAUCUGUUGAUGCGAAAGAAAAAGUCGACGCCUUUAUUUAGCAUUGUCAGAAGGGAAGUGAGCCUUUUCCUAAAGCGUAGGCCCGCAGAUGACUGAACAACCUUCCCUUUCUUGCAUCUCGGACUCAGAGGGCUUUCUUUUGUCGGCUAGUGUUAUAUAUUGAUUAAGGUGCGAAAACGAUUCCUCGCAAACAAACAAAAAAGUAUUGAUUUGAUUUGUCUAAUCCUUCCUGCGUUUAGGGCUUGUUUUACGUCCUACAACAUAAUUCGAUGCCAUCCUCCUCUACUAUUAUCCCGAAGGAGAGAAAGCCUACCAUCUAAAGCAAAGAGAAUCCUCUAAACCGUGACUCCAAGCAGACCUCGACUAAGCUGUACCGCAUGUGGCAAUCCAAUCCAAAUCCAUAGAAUGCCAGUAAAAACAAACAACACACCCUAUUUGUAUUAGCGUGAAAAGGGGUUUGUUUAUUACGGUCGACCACUACUCUAUUUAUAGUUUACAGUUCCAUUGAGCAGUUAAGCGCUUAUGGGGUUCCGCAGUCCGAUACCUUUCCAUUUAGCCACCUCAUGCGCCAAAGUCGGUUGGUCUAUCCUCAACUUACAAUAAGGGCCGGCACUCGUUAAAGCAGUCAGAGUCUAAGCGGACGGCAUAGAGCCAAUACUCUCUUUUUUGUCAUUUGACAUCCCGUACUAAAAGAAAAGCAUAAUAAUGAUAUGCUGGGAUUCCAGUUUCAUAGAUCUUUUCUUUUCCCCAUCUCUUAGAACAAUCUGGUUUUCAUUUACAAUGCCAAAUGGAAGUCAAACGGAUUUUUCUUCCUAAAACUGGUGUGUAUAGAGGAAAUUGUAGGUAGGAAGGACAGGCUUUAUGGGGGUUUUCAGUCUGAAGGAAUCCUAUCUGGAUAAAGACUGUCCAUGGAUUGGAUUCUCCUAGUGGAUUUGGACUAGAAAAGGCACCCUAGAGAAAAGCGGGGGUUGAGAAAAGUGGGAGAGCUAGUUUGAAAGCAGAGAGAUUUUAUUGUGACCAUAAGUAUGACUCUAAGUCCCGUACUGUGGUACAUCGUACCUAUGAGUUUCAGAAUAAGGCAGUAAGACCUAUAGCCAGUAAGGUAAGCCCAAGAUCUAGUAAUAGUAGACUUCCCCGGAUAGUAGACUUCGGGAGGCAAACUAUAGACUUAAAGGAGCAAGCAGGAAUCCGUAUCAGUAGCUAAAGAACCCAAGUAGAUAUGUGAGUUUGAAAUCGACGUAGUUGUAGGACUUAUAGUUAAGAGCGCCAGGCUAUGACAAAGAAGUGGUGGGCUCAUGCGGUGGAGUAAGGAUCGAAGCAAGGGGAUAGCGGUUGAGGCAUAGGAAAUAAAGACGGAGUUCCUAGCUAGGUUCUUCUCACUAGUAGGUUGAUUCCCGAGUUCGACUCUUUGUAUUAGUCGUUUGGUUCUUACUUCAGAGCAGCUGUCCAGUUGGGUAGUAGUUCAUUCCCAGUUAGUUAAGUAAGCUUUAAGCAUUUGCCUACAGCCAUCUAAAGCAGCCCUUGCUUCAAGCUUUUAAGCCGGUACCGCCCUACUGCUAUUAUGUUAUUUCAACCUACGCUCCACAAACAACUAGCCUGCCUUUUUCUCCUAUGAAACUGAAAAUACUACCAGUGAGCCUGCCUCCUAAACAGUGAUAUGCUACCAACGAGAAUUGAGCUAGAAGAAUAGUACGUACGGGCGAGAAGGGGACUGAGACGUCGCCCAAGAAAUAAUAAUGAAAUGUCAGAAAGUCAGAAAACCUACCUAGUGGAGGUACACCUCGGCUAAGUCAACAAAUACAAAUACUAAUAUAUACCAAUAUAAGACUCGAAAAACCACUUAAUCAGAACAAAAACAGAGCUAAAGAACUUUAUUCAUCAAUAGGAAAUCAAAUACUACCUACGAGCCCAACACUCCUUGACCUAAAUCUGACUUAAUGACAUCUAAAUCUGGUUUUCGAGUUAAUGUACAGUAAUGCGGACUUGAAUGAUUUAAUCCCUUGCUUUGAAACUGCAUCCCCACUAGCAUACCCUCAAACAGGACAUAGAGUCACUAAGUUACCUGAGAAACUGGAAGAAUCGUUUGGCACCUACGCAGCCCUUAUCCAGCUAUGAACUUGAAACUGAAAACUCCAACUUGAAGAAUCGUUUGGCACCCGUAAAUUACCCAUCGCUCAAUUACCCAUCGCUGCUGACGCUGCCCUUGCUUUGUCGGGCGGAACUCACUCUCAGGUCUAUCGGGCUUACUUUCCAACUUAGUUGUUAGUUACGGAGAAAACAGCUACUGCAGCCUAUGAUCCUCACUUGCAUGUUACAAACUCAAACUAGCGCUAGUUAGACUAUCUUUACUCACUUCUAUUCUCAGUAUUGUUAUUUUCAAACCGGACUCGGAUCCUUUAAACAAUACCGACAUGAUACCCUACCUAGUUUGGCUAACAAGUAACAACUUUUGUGAGCGUUAGUAAGGGGCAACUGAUCCAGCUCCAUCUGCUGACUUUGGCGCUGACACUGAUACGAAAACGGAUCUUGCUCGCUCCUGCUUCCACUAUGGAUUCUUAAAGAGGAGCUUAUGUAACUACUCCACUAUAAUAUGGAACGGCAUUUCACCAUCUAAUUGCCCCAACAAACGCUUCAUCCAUCUUUCGAGCUUCGAGUCAACCAGUCAUUUCAUCUUUCUCUUAAACCAGAAAACAAUGGACUCCCCUUUCGCACUAAACUAUACUUCCCGCUUCAGAUACAGAUCCCGAUCUUUCCUCAACAGAUUUCAUUGUCCUUGCAAGGGAAGGGCCAAAUCCCAGAAUUUCAUUAAACAGACAUUAUUUAUAUAUAAGUAGUUUGUAACCAAAUAGAUGGGUCAGGUUGUUUCUACUCAACUUCCGCACUAAGAUAUCGGGCGAAAAUCAUUUCAAUAGCUUUCGAUCCACCCGUUACGCAAGGGAACCAGUAUCUGUAUUGCCUGAAGUCAGUUCAGUUCGACUAGUUAUAGUUUUCUCCGUGUUUUGUCUCCGAGAGAACAUGCUGUGUAAUAUACUGCAGUUGGCGAUGAGAAUGAAGCUGCGGUGUCAAAGUCAGCGGUAAGCGAAGGAAGCAGAGAGUAUUAGCCCCGAGCCCGAGCUCACGUGAGAUGGAUGAUAGCUUUUUCUUUCCGUUUAGCAGUGCGCAGUAAAGUCCAGAGAGUUUUUCGCUAUAAUAUGAGGGCAACUAGGAAUUCCAUCUUUCGAGCACAUAUGAUAGAUUCGAGUAAACUACGGGCUUACCUUUUGCUUCAAAACAACAGGGCGCGCAUUUCGUUAUUGUUGCAGGGGUGGGCAUUAGUCUCGGUGCAGUCUUAGGUGACUUCUAUCUAUAUGUUGUGGUAUUUCUAGUUUCGCAGUGUUGUUACUCAAUACUAGAAUAGGUAGGUUUACUUUAUUCCAUUAUUGAGAGAAAGCCAAGGAGAGUGGGAAAGCCCCAAGCAUAUACGAUACAGAAGUUCAAAGAGCUCCCGACAGAGAGUAUCAACCUUCUUAGACAAGGAGCUACAGUGGGACAAUCUGCUAACCUAGACUUUAUAAGCGAACCAUUCAAGUACAUUUUACACCUUGUGAACUUCUACUAAACUCUAAGCUCGCAAAGAAAGAUUCUGAAGUGGAGUUAUGAGUUUUGAGUUCUUGUAUAUAAUGGAAAAGUCAAGACACUGAACUACUGAAUAGAAUCUAGUGCACCACCGCUUUUGGCAAGCAAUAAGUUAAGUACCAUCCAUCCAUAGGGCUCGGCUCUUUAUAGUUCUGCAGAAAUAAUCGAAUAGCAGCUCUGCAGGGCGCUAAAGUCGAGUGGGAGCAGCUGGGCGCUAAAGUCGAGUUAAGCGAGUCAGAGAGUCAAUUGUGUUUUUACCCCAUUCUAUAUAUGUAUUGAAAGAAUACCUUCUUUCUAGUUUGAUUUCGGCGAGAGAUUCCAUUAAUGAUUUGUUUACUCAAGCAAGAAUCGAGAGAUUCCAUUCCAGUCCUGUUUUCUCCUGCGGAAAGACUCUCUGUGACGUGUGGGAAUUAUCAAUAUGGGUUUACAGUCCUAAGUAGUGAUCCAAGCAAACCUUUAGUCUCGGUUAAGCCCAUAACCGACUCUCUCGUAUUCAAUGAAAGGAAUAGCUGCUAGCUGGGCGAUGAAUAAGAUGGGAGAAGAAGGUGUUGGUCAAGUCUAAAAGGUCAGGGGUAAUGUGUUAGCUGCAAAUGACUAUACGGCCAGGCUCAAAGGUCAAAGUCGAGCUAUGUGUUCGUAGCGAAUGACUAUACGGCCGGGCUUGAGGGAAGUGAGUUUACAAUUUCUAUCCCUAUCCAUAUAUGAGAUGCGUGAGAUGAAAUGCAUUUUCUUUGUUUUCCUCUCUCUGCGUGAGAUUCCAUUAAUGAUUUGUUGCGCGGUCAGUGAGCAGCUUUAUUACCUUCCCUCUGCUUUGCGUGCUUAGCCUUACCAUCCCAUCCCUUUGCUUUGCUUUACGAACCAUCCCAUCCCUUUGCUUUGCUUUACGAACCUUUCCAUUCCUUUGCUUUGCUUUACGAACCUUUCCAUUCCUUUCCGAACCCUAGCCUAGACAAGGUGAUUUCUUCGUUUACUUCUAAACUCAAUAUUCCUGUUUGCGAGAGGAGAUCUUAACUCCUACUGGAUGAUAUGCGCAUAAGAUAGAUUCAAGAUAUAAAUGGUUUCCCGUUUUUGGUAUUCAUGGCGGUAGGAGCAACAUUGUGCCCUUUAGUAAUUGGCUUAAGUUAGUUAGAAAACAUUUCCAUUGUCAACUCAAUUGUAAACAAACUUCUAAAGUCUGUAAGUGCUUCAACUUAAGGCCCAGUUAAUUACCUCUUUUUAGACUCAAAACUCUUAUUUCUUUCCACUCUACUUUCUGAACGAACAGAAACGUAAUGGAAUUGCACUGAACUAGCACCGAACCUCCUUUCUUAUUCAAUGAAACUACAAGGAGCGGCGAGCGAGACAAGAAGUAUACCUCGAUUAUGGUCUUCCUUAGCGUCCAGUCCAGCAGCUGCUUUUCCUAUCACUUAGCUCCUGUAGCAUGAUCUUGAAAUAUAGUGAGUUCCUGUUCUUUACCGCGUAGGCUACUCCGGCUACUAAAACCAUAGGUCAGUAGAUAAGAAAGAACAUAGGCAUAUACGUUAAACGAUGCAAAAAGAUGGGGUGAAAGCAAAGCCUGAAACUCGAUAUUCUCAGGGUUCUUCAGCGCUAACGGGAGCUCUGCACUCAAAAGAGUUAUCAGAGAGAGAGAAAGGAUUAUCCGCUUGACUUGACGGCGCUGCACUGCUGUUCAAUUAAUUCCUUAGAGUUGAGUUCACCAUUGUGUGUUAGCCAUAGUAAGUAUAAGAAAAAGAACUGUUACUAAAUUGGAAAGCCAUUGCGCGCACUAGCCAUUUGUGUUUGAGUUCGCCGUUCUUCAUAUUAUUGCAGUAAGGAGUGAGCGGGCAGCUCCGGAUUCUCCUCUUGGAAUUUCAUCUAUCUCUGUUCUUGUUGCACUUGUUUUUGUUUAUUCCCUCGCGCUAAUGCUUAUAUUAGUAUUCGGGCGGAAGCCGUUACUUGUUCUUGUGCCUGCAACCUCGCAGAAACUAACUACUUACUAUCGGGGCUUGUUUACUUAGAAUAUUCGGGGCUUAGUUUACUUAGAAUAUAGAAAUUAUUGACUAGUUGCAUUGCUUCCAAACUCCACUCAUAUAGGAAACCCGGAAAGACUAACUCACGCACCCUGUCACUAAAAAGUGCUCUAUGGGCUUGCUUGCCUUUUGCUUGAAAACGAAGUUAUUUGAAUUGAGUCUACCGAGCACAUGAUAAAGGAAAGUAACAAAACACUGAUUACUGCUCACUCCUGACUUUCUAGGAACCCUCAGCCUAUGCCUUACCUGUACCAGUACAAGAAUCAAGCUUCCCCCUAAGCCUAUGCCUUACCUUAAGCUUAAUGCGGCGUAGCUCGCUUAUGCUCCAAGUAGUUUCAUGGAGUCGCUUUUGCCGUUGCUGUUUGUUCUGUUGCGACUUAAUAUUGAGACUCUAAAGAAGAUUAUUAAUGUACCUCCUAUAAAGAAUAUUUUGAGUGUACCUAAGUUGACCUCUUUCUUAUGUAAGUGCAUAACAACACUGCUUGCUUCCUUCUCAUAACAACACUGCUUGCUUCCUUCUAAACUCACUGCUCACCUAUUACUGCUGGCUCAAGGCACCCCGAAAGGAAGCUCACAUUAUGACCCUAAAAGUAAGCUAAUGCACUACGGGCUUGUUCCGGCGAACUCCCUUAAGCAAAAGGCCUCUCUUCUAUGUUUCUGUCCUUGUCCUUCUUCACAGCACCCAGCUAGCAAACGAUUAGCAGCUUCAAAGAGAACUCACUCCUAUCCUACGGCACAAGGCAACAAACAACAAGAAGUUAACCUACCGCACUAUGGUGAACUCAACUCACUAAGCACAACGGCGAAAUCAUUGAAUAUAAGUGCACAUAAUCAGAAAGAAUAGAUGAAAAACGGAGCUUACUGUACUCUUAGAUGAAAACGUAGCUUACUUGACUCUAAAGAAUCUCAUAUAAUGUGCAAAAGAAUAUCAUAUUGUGCACAACUUACUUAUAUAAAAGAAGCACAGUCAACUU